UAACCGGCGAUACCCGAAUGGGGAAACCCAGUGUGAUUCGUCACACUAUCAUUAACUGAAUCCAUAGGUUAAUGAGGCGAACCGGGGGAACUGAAACAUCUAAGUACCCCGAGGAAAAGAAAUCAACCGAGAUUCCCCCAGUAGCGGCGAGCGAACGGGGAGGAGCCCAGAGCCUGAAUCAGCAUGUGUGUUAGUGGAAGCGUCUGGAAAGGCGCGCGAUACAGGGUGACAGCCCCGUACACAAAAGCGCAUGUGCUGUGAGCUCGAUGAGUAGGGCGGGACACGUGGUAUCCUGUCUGAAUAUGGGGGGACCAUCCUCCAAGGCUAAAUACUCCUGACUGACCGAUAGUGAACCAGUACCGUGAGGGAAAGGCGAAAAGAACCCCGGCGAGGGGAGUGAAAAAGAACCUGAAACCGUGUACGUACAAGCAGUGGGAGCACCCUUUGGGUGUGACUGCGUACCUUUUGUAUAAUGGGUCAGCGACUUAUAUUCUGUAGCAAGGUUAACCGAAUAGGGGAGCCGGAGGGAAACCGAGUCUUAACCGGGCGUUAAGUUGCAGGGUAUAGACCCGAAACCCGGUGAUCUAGCCAUGGGCAGGUUGAAGGUUGGGUAACACUAACUGGAGGACCGAACCGACUAAUGUUGAAAAAUUAGCGGAUGACCUGUGGCUGGGGGUGAAAGGCCAAUCAAACCGGGAGAUAGCUGGUUCUCCCCGAAAGCUAUUUAGGUAGCGCCUCGUGAAUUCAUCUCCGGGGGUAGAGCACUGUUUCGGCUAGGGGGCCAUCCCGGCUUACCAACCCGAUGCAAACUGCGAAUACCGGAGAAUGUUAUCACGGGAGACACACGGCGGGUGCUAACGUCCGUCGUGAAGAGGGAAACAACCCAGACCGCCAGCUAAGGUCCCAAAGUCAUGGUUAAGUGGGAAACGAUGUGGGAAGGCCCAGACAGCCAGGAUGUUGGCUUAGAAGCAGCCAUCAUUUAAAGAAAGCGUAAUAGCUCACUGGUCGAGUCGGCCUGCGCGGAAGAUGUAACGGGGCUAAACCAUGCACCGAAGCUGCGGCAGCGACACUGUGUGUUGUUGGGUAGGGGAGCGUUCUGUAAGCCUGUGAAGGUGU
rnacentral:rRNA from 1 species